rnacentral:lncRNA from 1 species
GUUUGGUUUUGGUUUUGUAUUGAUUCUAGUACAAAUCUAUCACGUAUGACAUCUUUAUGGGCUACCUCAAGUACUAAGUCAACGAAAUGUUCUCCACAGAACAAUAGAAAAAUAUCAUAUAUCUUUUCAUGAAGUAUUCUGAAUGUUUUUUCAGUGUUUUUCACAUAACUCAACAUUAGCUUAUCCAGUUCAGACUUGACAACUUGAAUCGAAAAAUGCGCUUGCAUAUGGAAAUAAUCGGAUAUGUCUUCAAGAACCUGUUUAAUACC